CUCUCUCUCUCUCUCUCUCUCCCUCUCAUUCUCUCUCUCUCUCUCUCUCUCUCUCUCUCUCUCUCUCUCUCUCUCUCUAAGAUCCUUCGUCGUUCGUCGUCCAUUUCCAAAAACGGAGGGUACUGCGUGCAUCAGAAGAGGAAACUCUACAAUUUUAGCGGAUCGGAUCGUCGUUUCGGAGAUUUUCGUGUCUUUCCCAAAAAUCGAGGUUUUCGGGAUUCCGGGUUGUUGGUUUGGAUCGUUUCCGAACGUAGUUUCAUUUCGAGUUUAAGGUCCAUCAGUACGUCGGUCCUAGUAGCUAAAGGGACUGGGGAUAUUAUUUUUGGUUAGCUUACAUAAGCAUUUGAAUCUUGUAUUAAACCUAGAUGAAAGUCCUUUUUUGGAGGGUUGUAAUAUAGGAUUUAUUCUAUGUCUGGUUUUAUGUAAUUGUGGAUGUAUUAGUAAACUCUGGUAUAAGAAUAAUAGAAAUCCCAAUGGAUGUUUAUGUUUUUCCGCGA